rnacentral:rRNA from 1 species
AUGUCGACAAGCUCAGUCAGGUCUUUGCUCGGCGGCCGUUCGGUGGUGGUGCCUCUCAUCAGAUGCCCUUCUUCCCGCACUCGUGUUAAGUUUUAUCUCUCCAACACGGAGAAGCACGAGGGCUGGGUCUUCUACAGGUGUCCUAUUGGUACCAUUUCUGGCAUUGGGAGUUGGAAUACGUUGGCUACUUGCUUGAAAAUCAAUUUCUCGCGGGCAAUGAAGCCGUAG